UGGGAUGUUGUUCAAUGCUAGAGCACAUGCUUCUUGUGCAGGUGGCCCUGGGUUCAAUCCCCAGCACCAA
rnacentral:tRNA from 1 species